AUGAUAUGAGUGGGUCUGUGCCUUCUCUGUCCUCUAAGGGAAAAAUGAGGACAGAGAAGGCACAGACCCACUCAUAU
rnacentral:miRNA from 1 species